AGAGCACGUCAAGAUGGCCGCUGCGAUGCCAACGGCGUUGCAGAGGAAAGUCCGAGCUCCAAAGGAUGAUGCAUCCCGGUAAUGCGGGACCGUUCGCCGUAAGGCGGAUGAGGAUUAGAGCUACAGUGACGAUGCCUGCCGCAAGGUAGGAGUGAAACGAGCAAUCUCUGCAUGGAGCAAUGCCAAAUAGGAGGGGAGUCCGCGAGGUACGGGGCGAUCCGUCCCGUCACGACCCUCGGGUAGGCUGCCAGAUAUCCGCCAAAGGCGGAUGUUAGUCAAAUGGCCAUCGCCCCUGCAAAGGGGUUACAGAACUCGGCUUAUUGAGGUGCUUUUUAG
rnacentral:RNase_P_RNA from 1 species